rnacentral:lncRNA from 1 species
AACUUUAGUUAGUAGCUCGUCCCAGUCAGUAACACUCUGGGAGGGCUCAGGCCACAUCACCAAAUGUGACAGGAUAGCCUUGAACUCAUCAAUUGCUGGGUAAGAAAGAAUUUUAAUGCAAUGGCAAACAGCCAAUCAAACAAGCAAACAAAAACAACAAACCCUUCCUUGAGGACCAAGAAGCCAUUAGUUAGCUAACCUAAGAGCUCCAGGUGGAGACCUAGUUCCUGAUUGGAUUUCUGAAUUUGACCACUAGGCAGAAAACUAGCACCCAAAACCAGUUGGAAUAAAAUUGCCCACCUACAGUGGAGCCAAGGCCCCCAGAUCCUUUUUGUCAGGGGCACCUCAAACUCAACUCCAAAAUUGAUCUAAUGAACUUUCCCAAACCACAUUCCCUUCUUGCAUUUCUGAGAGAAUGGAUUCCCAUUCAUCUGACUACAGUGCUAUCCUGAAAGCAGAUCCAGAGACUUAGAUUUCACCUGCAGAUGAUUCAUUUGCAAGGUAAGCUGUCAUCAGUUGGAGGUAAGCGGAAGACAGUAGAGAGUACAGAGCCCUGGACUGUGACUCAGAGGAUGAGCACCAGAUCCAGUUUGCUGUGCCACAGUGGUAAGUCACCUAACCUUUAUGUGCUUGGAUUCCUCAUAUGUAAUACAGGAUCAC